ACCAGUUAAUAAAGCUCUUCUGCUCUGCUGCUCAUUUUUGUCGUGCUCACUGAUUCAUGCUAUGAAUCACCAUUGAGGAGAUUAUUACAGUUCAUAUAUCGAUUUCACUGAGGCUGAUGCUAUCAACAUUAAGGCUGGCUGGACUAGCUUUGAGUACUGACGAUGGAUGAGAUGGCGGUGCUGGGUUCCUUUCCAGAGAUUACUUGGAUAAGUGCUCUUGUGUUGUUGUUCUAUCUACUGAGGUUGGUUCUUCAGAAGCAGGUAACUUUUGUUAUCUGGGCAGGACUGGAAAAGGCAGUGGAACUAAAGCUAUCCCAGGCGAGCAAGGAACGUGAUGCUCAAAUGCUGUAAUCCUUGAACCUAAAAGCAGGAGGUUUUGAUGGCUGAUGUCGUUCUGAUGCUUCAAAUAAGGCAUAAAUUGUAUCAAGGAAGUUGUGCUGGGUUAACUCAUACAGAGGAAGCACGUUUGUUGAAGUGAUGAUGUUUGGUUUUCCAUCGAAUAUUUGUUGGGUACCCCGUUGUAUAAAUUUAUUGGGUAUCCCUUUGAGAAUGCUGUAUAAAAUAACUUGGAAACCCCUUUAAGAAGCUCGUAUAAAUAAACUGGGUACACUUGUGUGUUGGUAGUAUAAAUUAAAUGGGUAAUUGCCAAUCACGGUUAAAAUGA